GACGAACGCUGGCGGCGUGCUUAACACAUGCAAGUCGAACGGAAAGGCCCUGCUUUUGUGGGGUGCUCGAGUGGCGAACGGGUGAGUAACACGUGAGUAACCUGCCCUUGACUUUGGGAUAACUUCAGGAAACUGGGGCUAAUACCGGAUAGGAGCUCCUGCUGCAUGGUGGGGGUUGGAAAGUUUCGGCGGUUGGGGAUGGACUCGCGGCUUAUCAGCUUGUUGGUGGGGUAGUGGCUUACCAAGGCUUUGACGGGUAGCCGGCCUGAGAGGGUGACCGGCCACAUUGGGACUGAGAUACGGCCCAGACUCCUACGGGAGGCAGAAGUGGGGAAUAUUGCACAAUGGGCGGAAGCCUAAUGCAGCAACGCCGCGUGCGGGAUGACGGCCUUCGGGUUGUAAACCGCUUUCGCCUGUGACGAAGCGUGAGUGACGGUAAUGGGUAAAGAAGCACCGGCUAACUACGUG
rnacentral:rRNA from 1 species